CUGAAGGCGCCCCGCCACGAGUGAUCAUCAUAACAUCCCUAAACUACCAAGACAAGAUGAGWGAUGACAGCAGCCCGUCUGAAAGGAAAGUUUGUGAAGAAUGAAGUUGCGCUCAGUGUCUUCAGAAGUUUUUGUGUCAUUUCCUUGAGUGGUCCUUGGUCCAGCGCCCCCACAGGCGAGGAAGGGAACAAGCUAAGAGUUUGGAUAAUUUGACAGUGCAGGGUGAAAGAGAACAGUAGCAGCUGAAAAUGAAACGAAUGUUAUUUUGGUUCCAGAUUUAACCGAGUCUACCCGGACUAACAGCUAAAAACAAAAACAUUUUCUAAGAGUGGAGUUUUUAAAACAACGAUGAGUGAAUCUGUGCUCACCUGGGAUCCAGUUGUUGCUGUGAACUUUGAGGAAAAGCAGGAGGAAAAUGAUGGAUAAAGCAGAGAAACAGGGAGACAUGAUGACUGCAGAGGAAGGUGAUGAAGAGUGAAGGAGGCAGAGAGGGAGUGGAAGUGAAGAGGUGUCUAGACUUUAAAGGUUACUCAGAGCAAGUUUGUGGCUCGGAGUUACAACAGAAUAAAAUCCUUCCUGCUUUU